GAGGCACCACCAGGAGUGGAGCCUGCGGCUUAAUUUGACUCAACACGGGGAAACUCACCCGGCCCGGACACUGAAAGGAUUGACAGAUUGAGAGCUCUUUCUUGAUUCAGUGGGUGGUGGUGCAUGGCCGUUCUUAGUUGGUGGAGCGAUUUGUCUGGUUAAUUCCGAUAACGAACGAGACUCUAGCCUAUUAAAUAGAUCAUCGGCUUAUUACGCCGGUGAGACUUCUUAGAGAGACAGGCGGCGAUUCAGCCGCACGAAACAGAGCAAUAACAGGUCUGUGAUGCCCUUAGAUGUCCGGGGCCGCACGCGCGCUACACUGAAGUGAUCAGCGUGCUUGAAACUCCUGCUCUGUCAAGAGUGGGUAACCCAAUGAACCUUCUUCGUGAUUGGGAUAGGAGAUUGUAAUUAUUCUCCUUGAACGAGGAAUUCCCAGUAAGCGCGAGUCAUCAGCUCGCGUUGAUUACGUCCUGCCUCUUGUUCACACCGCCCGUCGCUACUACCGAUUGAAUGAUUUAG
rnacentral:rRNA from 1 species